CGCGGGGCCGCUGCCCCUCCCGGGUCGCUCCGAUGGCCCGAGCCUCAUCGUCUGCACUGCCGCCGCUUCCUGGGAGGUUUCGCGGGGAACCCGAAGGGCUGCACAGACAAGGUAUUAAAAGAGAAGAAAUUCUGCCUUUGAAAUUUAGGCUCUAUAAAUGAUCAGCGGCACAACAAAGAAUUUCAUAGACUGAAUUUCAGGCUCAUGGGAUUUUCCAGGUAUUGAACCUGCAACCUGUGCAUGUGCCCUGACCAGUGAUUGAACCUGCAAACUUGUGUACUCAGUGACGCUCCAACCACCUAAACCACCCUGCCAGGCCUAUAUGGAUGGAGUCGAUGGUAUCUGAUGUAGGCAGAACUGGAGAAAAAUGAUUUCUAUUUCACCAUGUAUUGCUUCGAGCUAGUUACUCCCUGAGUUUGCUACAGUAAAAGAUUUGUGCAGAUUUGGUUGAAACUGGCUCAUGGAGUUCAACUACCUGAGAACACAUCCUUGAAAAAGACAGCUGAGGCAUACUGCCUAAACCACAGAUGGUUGAAAACCUGGCCAAAAGUGACUGUGACUACUCUGGACUGUUGACUUCACGAGUGCUGAUGAAUACAAUGAACUGUAGAAGAUCUAUGAUUUGUUUUGAACACAUUUACUAUGAUGGAUGGUCCAGAUUUGGCAAGUUAGUUCACUCCCAGUAGAAAUGGAAGUUUCACUGCCUUGCCUCUUUCAACAUUCUUGUUGAGACAAAUUUCACUCUUACGGGCCAAUGUCACUGAUAAUUUGCAGCAUAAUGAAUUUAUUAGCUACCCUAUGGAUCAAUGCUGUACAUAAUAUUCCUGAGUCAACAUGAGCUCUUAAUUAAAUGUCUUUGUUACAAAUGCCUCUGCAAAUUUUCCUUUAGAUGACCAAACUUGAAGACAUGCGUCUAAGUGUCAACCAGUAAUUAGGCUAGUCACUUUUUGAGAUGGGCCAGGACCAAGGCGAGGGCAGGGUCAGGUUAGAAAGUAAUCUGUUAUGCACAGCAGGUUAUAAAAUGGAUACAUGUAAAAAACAACCAAUAAAUUGAU